GGUGCACCGUUAAAAUGUAACAGCCACCGGUUUGCUCGCAGGACGCUGGCUGACCCACGAACCCCCCUUGAAGCCCUCCCACCCCUAAAAAAAACCCCAAAGAUUAAAGGGCAUUUAUUAAGCUCGCAGCUGCUGCCUGACGGCGUUUUCCAGCUCACACCCGGCCUCCUGCCCCAGGAGCCGCCCAACGCCCGGCGGCAGCGAGCCGAGGCAGCCCAGCCGGGGCACGUCCCGGGGAAACUCCGAGCGCUGCUCGCGGCCGGGAGCUUUUUAUUCACCUCUCCCCAGGGCAGGGCAGGGCAGGGCAGGGCAGGGCAGGGCAGGGCAGGUGGUGCAGGCGGGCGACAGCCGGGACGCUCGCUGAGGCGGCGGCGGCGCCGUGAGGGACGCGGUCCGGCCGCAGCCCGCAACGGCCCGGUUCUAACUGCCCGCAGCGCCGGGGAACGGUCCGCGGCCGGGCCCGCGCCGCCUGAGGUGGAAGGGGGGGAUAUAAAGGGGAGAGGCGGGGCGCCGCCGGGUUUGUUUAUUCCGCCCGGCCGGGCGGUACGGGGUCCGGCCGGGAUCAAAAAUCACCGCGGGCCGCCGCCGGAGGGCCGCCGCCCGCCCGCCAGCCCGGCCCGGUCCGCCCGCCCUACGUGCAGCGCGGGAGCGCCGCCAUGUCGCGGGGCGAGGCGGCCGGCGGGGGCGGUUGUGGCGGUGAACAAACAUAAAUGGCUGGGCCAACAUGACCAAAUAAAAAAAGAAGUUGAACCACAACGCCGAGGAAGACUAUGGCCUUCAUCUUCACAACCACCAGGACAGAGACGACCCCCUAGCAACAGUGUGCGCAGUCGCAGAAUAUACCAGGAUGUGCUGCGUAAUCCUGGAAUCACCAAGAUAUAAAAAGGGACCCUGGCGGGAGGUGAUGUGUGCGCCGUUGGCGGAGCCGAGACUCCCCGGCCGCCCAGUGCUGUUUUGCUUGCUGUUGCUUACUUAAUAAAUUCCUUUCUAUUAUUAAUGCA
rnacentral:lncRNA from 1 species